UACAGAGGCCACGAGCGUUAGGCGGAAUCACUGGGCUUAAAGCGUGUGUAGGUGGAUCGGUAAGUACCUUGUGAAAUCCCACGACUCAAUCGUGGAACUGCUUGGUAUACUGCCAGUCUUGAGGUACUCAGGGGCAAGCGGAACAGAUGGUGGAGCGGUGAAAUGCGUAGAUAUCAUCUGGAACGCCAAUGGUGAAGACAGCUUGCUGGGGGUAUUCUGACACUGAGACACGAAAGCCAGGGGAGCAAACGGGG
rnacentral:rRNA from 1 species